GGUGAGUAAUACAUCGGAACGUGCCCAGACGUGGGGGAUAGCUCGGCGAAAGCCGGAUUAAUACCGCAUAAGCUCUGAGGAGGAAAGCGGGGGACCGUAAGGCCUCGCGCGUUUGGAGCGGCCGAUGGCAGAUUAGGUAGUUGGUGGGGUAAAGGCUUACCAAGCCUACGAUCUGUAGCUGGUCUGAGAGGACGACCAGCCACACUGGGACUGAGACACGGCCCAGACUCCUACGGGAGGCAGCAGUGGGGAAUUUUGGACAAUGGGCGAAAGCCUGAUCCAGCAAUGCCGCGUGCAGGAUGAAGGCCUUCGGGUUGUAAACUGCUUUUGUACGGAACGAAAAGGCGCCUACUAAUACUGGGUGUUGAUGACGGUACCGUAAGAAUAAGCACCGGCUAACUACGUGCCAGCAGCCGCGGUAAUACGUAGGGUGCGAGCGUUAAUCGGAAUUACUGGGCGUAAAGCGUGCGCAGGCGGUGUUGUAAGACAGUUGUGAAAUCCCCGGGCUCAACCUGGGAACUGCAUCUGUGACUGCAAUGCUAGAGUGCGGCAGAGGGGGAUGGAAUUCCGCGUG
rnacentral:rRNA from 1 species